AGUGAACGCUGGCGGUAGGCCUAACACAUGCAAGUCGAACGGCAGCACAGGAGAGCUUGCUCUCUGGGUGGCGAGUGGCGGACGGGUGAGGAAUACAUCGGAAUCUACUUUUUCGUGGGGGAUAACGUAGGGAAACUUACGCUAAUACCGCAUACGACCUACGGGUGAAAGCAGGGGAUCUUCGGACCUUGCGCGAUUGAAUGAGCCGAUGUCGGAUUAGCUAGUUGGCGGGGUAAAGGCCCACCAAGGCGACGAUCCGUAGCUGGUCUGAGAGGAUGAUCCGCCACACUGGAACUGAGACACGGUCCAGACUCCUACGGGAGGCAGCAGUGGGGAAUAUUGGACAAUGGGCGCAAGCCUGAUCCAGCCAUACCGCGUGGGUGAAGGAGGCCUUCGGGUUGUAAAGCCCUUUUGUUGGGAAAGAAAUCCAGCUGGUUAACACCCGGUUGGGAUGACGGUACCCAAAGAAUAAGCACCGGCUAACUUCGUGCCAGCAGCCGCAGUAA
rnacentral:rRNA from 1 species